GGUUGAUGCAUCAUCCACCACCACCACCAACGGGCACCAGUCAAGCAGUACCAAAUGAUUCAGUCAUUGUAAUUGCACCUCAUUACUGCACACCAAAUCGAGUAGAUUUCCACAUGCCAAGAAAGUUGAGUACAUCACGGAAGGUAAUUAUAACUUGGGAGCUUUUGAUAUCAAUGGUAAUAAAAUCUUCAUAGUGACAACUAAGUAUUAUAAACGUUAUCGUAUUCUUGUUGAUGCUGCCGGAGUUCCACUCGUGUCUCUAAAAAAAAGAAUGUUUCUUCCAGUAGAUGGAAUGUAUACAGAGGAGAUAGUGAAAACUCAAAAGAUCUGUUGUUUAGUGUGAAGAAAACUACGUUCUUGGGUUUUUUAGCAUUCAAAACUAACUUGGAUGUGUUUUUAGCAUCUAACAGAAAUGAAGGUGUCUGUGAUUUUAAGAUAAAACAAAAGUGUAAUGAGAAAUCGUGUUUCAUCUAUCGCGGGAAUUCAGAUAACCUCAUUGCUACGAUGCACAAGAAAAAAACCGUCCAGGGUAAAUAUUUUGGGAAGGACACAUUUUUAGUCACUGUCUACCCGAACGUGGAUUAUGCACUUGUUAUGGCUCUAUGUGUGGUUGUCGAUGAAAUUAAUCAUGGUGGCGAGGAUAUUGAUAACAAAGACGGGGCCAAUGAUUGGGUUGGCUGGGGUGGAUGUGGUGGUUGAUACGGAGAUGGGGGUGGUUGUGGAUGUUGUUGUUGGUGCACGGGAUGGGUGUUUUUUGAUGGUAUAUCAGUUAUAUUUUCAAUUGAGAUUAUGAUACUAUCAGCUUCCAACAAUAUUAUCAUUUUAUUUCGGUGAAAGUUUCCUCAAUUUUAAAAUUGUCCGAGAUAAAUUGAAUAAAAAUCAUCAGUAUCCAGUAAGUGGUAUCCGGGCUUCCUUAUUGAUGGGUUACUAUUUGCGAAAUCCGAAAUGCCAAAGAGAAUUAUGAAUCCAGUUUUUGUGCGUCUUUUUUUGUGCGUCUUUAAUCGGCUAGUCUGCAUUGAUUACCUA